rnacentral:rRNA from 1 species
GAGACAGCAGUAGCCGCGGUAAUGCGAAGGGGGCUAGCGUUACUCGGAAUGACUGGGCGUAAAGGGCGCGUAGGCGGAUGGCACAGUCAGAUGUGAAAUUCCCGGGCUUAACCUGGGGGCUGCAUUUGAUACGUGUUGUCUAGAGUGAGGAAGAGGGUCGUGGAAUUCCCAGUGUAGAGGUGAAAUUCGUAGAUAUUGGGAAGAACAUCGGUGGCGAAGGCGGCGACCUGGUCCUUUACUGACGCUGAGGCGCGAAAGCGUGAGGAGCAAACAGGAUUAGAUACCCCUGUAGUCCCUGUCUCUUAUAC